rnacentral:rRNA from 1 species
GACGAACGCUGGCGGCAUGCCUAAUACAUGCAAGUCGAGCGAACAGAUGAAGUGCUUGCUCUUCUGACGUUAGCGGCGAACGGGUGAGUAACACGUAAGGAACCUACCUAUAAGCGGGGGAUAACAUUCGGAAACGGGUGCUAAUACCGCAUAAUAUCUUCUUCCGCAUGGAAGAAGAUUGAAAGACGGCUCUGCUGUCACUUAGAGAUGACCUUGCGGUGCAUUAGUUAGUUGGUGGGGUAAUGGCCUACCAAGACGAUGAUGCAUAGCCGACCUGAGAGGGUGAUCGGCCACAUUGGGACUGAGACACGGCCCAAACUCCUACGGGAGGCAGCAGUAGGGAAUCUUCCGCAAUGGGCGAAAGCCUGACGGAGCAAUGCCGCGUGAGUGAAGAAGGCCUUCGGGUCGUAAAACUCUGUUAUAAGAGAAGAACGAAUUGUAGAGUAACUGCUACAGUCUUGACGGUAUCUUAUCAGAAAGCCACGGCUAACUACGUGCCAGCAGCCGCGGUAA